rnacentral:rRNA from 1 species
UACGAGGGGGGCGAGCGUUAUCCGGAAUUAUUGGGCGUAAAGAGCUCGUAGGCGGUUUGUCGCGUCUGCCGUGAAAGUCCGGGGCUCAACUCCGGAUCUGCGGUGGGUACGGGCAGACUAGAGUGAUGUAGGGGAGACUGGAAUUCCUGGUGUAGCGGUGAAAUGCGCAGAUAUCAGGAGGAACACCGAUGGCGAAGGCAGGUCUCUGGGCAUUAACUGACGCUGAGGAGCGAAAGCAUGGGGAGCGAACAGG